CGACGUCAUCUCUCUGAUAGUAUUGCGACGUCAUCUCUCUGAUAAUGCUUGCGACUAUCAGAGAGAUGACGUCGCAAACACUAUCAGAGAGAUGACGUCGCAAACACUAUCAGAGAGAUGACGUCGCAAUACUAUCAGAGAGAUGACGUCGC
rnacentral:pre_miRNA from 1 species